rnacentral:rRNA from 1 species
AUACGUAGGGUGCGAGCGUUGUUCGGAAUCACUGGGCGUAAAGGGAGCGUAGGCGGAACUGUAAGUUAGAAGUUUAAUACAUGGGCUCAACCCGUGGUCUGCUUUUAAUACUGCGGUUCUUGAGUAUGGGAGAGGGCGAUGGAAUUCCAGGUGUAGCGGUGGAAUGCGUAGAUAUCUGGAAGAACACCAGUAGCGAAGGCGGUCGCCUGGCCCAAUACUGACGCUGAGGCUCGAAAGCUGGGGGAGCAAACAGGAUUAGAUACCCUGGUAGUCCCAGCCGUAAACGAUGGACACUAGUUGCCGGGAGAGUCAAUCCUUCGGUGACGAAGCUAACGCAUUAAGUGUCCCGCCUGGGGAGUACGCCCGCAAGGGUGAA